GCUGGGCAUGGUGGCGCGUGCCUGUAAUCCCAGCUACUCAGGAGGCUGAGGCAGGAGAAUUGCCUGAACCCAGGAAGUGGAGGUUGCAGUGAGCCGAGAUCACGCCAUUGCACUCCAGCCUGGGUAACAAGGUGAAACUCCGUCUCAA
ensembl:misc_RNA Metazoa_SRP Metazoan signal recognition particle RNA